UAGUGAGGUGGCGAACGGGUGAGUAACACGUGAGUAACCUGCCCUCUUCUUUGGAUAACGCCCGGAAACGGGUGCUAAUACUGGAUAUUCACUGGCCUUCGCAUGGGGGUUGGUGGAAAGGUUUGUUCUGGUGGGGGAUGGGCUCGCGGCCUAUCAGCUUGUUGGUGGGGUGAUGGCCUACCAAGGCUUUGACGGGUAGCCGGCCUGAGAGGGUGACCGGUCACAUUGGGACUGAGAUACGGCCCAG
rnacentral:rRNA from 1 species